UACGAAGGGGGCUAGCGUUGCUCGGAAUCACUGGGCGUAAAGGGUGCGUAGGCGGGUCUUUUAAGUCAGGGGUGAAAUCCUGGAGCUCAACUCCAGAACUGCCCUUGAUACUGGCGGUCUCGAGUCCGGGAGAGGUGAGUGGAACUGCGAGUGUAGAGGUGAAAUUCGUAGAUAUUCGCAAGAACACCAGUGGCGAAGGCGGCUCACUGGCCCGGUACUGACGCUGAGGUGCGAAAGCGUGGGGAGCAAACAGGG
rnacentral:rRNA from 1 species